CUUCCAUGAUGAGCAGUAAAUUUCUUUGGGUAAUUUACGUCUGAGAUUUUCUGAUGAACAUUCCAGACUAGAUCUGACGAUU
rnacentral:snoRNA from 1 species